rnacentral:rRNA from 1 species
GUAAUGGCUCACCAAGGCGACGAUCCCUAGCUGUUCUGAGAGGAUGAUCAGCCACACUGGGACUGAGACACGGCCCAGACUCCUACGGGAGGCAGCAGUGGGGAAUAUUGCACAAUGGGGGAAACCCUGAUGCAGCCAUGCCGCGUGUGUGAAGAAGGCCUUCGGGUUGUAAAGCACUUUCAGUAAGGAGGAAAGGUUAACGAUUAAUACUCGUUAGCUGUGACGUUACUUACAGAAGAAGGACCGGCUAACUCCGUGCCAGCAGCCGCGGUAAUACGGAGGGUCCGAGCGUUAAUCGGAAUUACUGGGCGUAAAGCGUGCGCAGGCGGUUUGUUAAGCCAGAUGUGAA